rnacentral:rRNA from 1 species
GACGAACGCUGGCGGCGUGCUUAACACAUGCAAGUCGAACGGAAAGGCCCACUUGUGGGGUGGUUGAGUGGCGAAAGGGUGAGUAACACGUUAGUAAUCUACCUGUGACUUUGGGAUAACUUCAGGAAACGGGGGCUAAUACCGGAUAGGAGCUCCUGGUGAAUGGUGGGGGUUGGAACGUUUCGGCGGUUGGGGAUGGACUCGCGGGUUAUCAGCUUGUUGGUGGGGUAAUGGCUAACAAAGGCUUUGCCGGGUACGCGGCCUGGGAGGGUGACCGGCGACAUGGGUACUGAGAGACGGCCCAGACUCCUACGUUAGGCAGCAGUGGAGAGUAUUGCACAAUGGGCGGAAGCCUGAUGCAGCAACGCCGCGUGCGGGAUGACGGCCUUCGCGUUGUAAACCGCUUUCGCCUGUGACGAAGCGUGAGUGACGGUAAUGGCUAAAGAAGCACCGGCUAACUACGUG